CGGGACAUAGAAUCCGACGAAGAUGAGGAAGACACUGCUGAAGUUGCCACUGAGGAUAGACAGCAUAAUGAGAUUAAUAUGUUUCAGCCUCCAACAUAUAUUGAUGAAGCGGUUCCUAGCUAUUCUACUGAAGUUGCUACUGAAGAUUGCCAACUUAUUAAUCAGUCCCUAGAAAAUGUCGAGGAAACGUUUUCUAGCUGUGAUGAGUAUGAGAAAGAAAAUGAUGAAAAAGAAC